UGGGGAAUAUUGCACAAUGGGCGAAAGCCUGAUGCAGCGACGCCGCGUGAGGGAUGACGGCCUUCGGGUUGUAAACCUCUUUCAGUAGGGACGAAGCGCAAGUGACGGUACCUGCAGAAGAAGCACCGGCUAACUACGUGCCAGCAGCCGCGGUAAUACGUAGGGUGUGAGCGUUGUCCGGAAUUACUGGGCGUAAAGAGCUCGUAGGCGGUUUGUCACGUCGUCUGUGAAAUCCUAGGGCUUAACCCUGGACGUGCAGGCGAUACGGGCUGACUUGAGUACUACAGGGGAGACUGGAAUUUCUGGUGUAGCGGUGGAAUGCACAGAUAUCAGGAAGAACACCGAUGGCGAAGGCAGGUCUCUGGGUAGUAACUGACGCUGAGGAGCGAAAGCAUGGGUAGCGAACAGG
rnacentral:rRNA from 1 species